CAAACACUCCUUUAUUUCUCUCUCUUUCUCUCUAUCUCUGUAUCCACGAAACCUAAUAUUGAUCACCCCCAUCCCUCUUCCCUGCACCAUUUCAUUUAAUGCUAAAAUCCUCCAUCCCUGCAAGUGCGCUUCUACUUUCACUUUUGAUUCGCCGAAACCUCAUCAUUAUCUAGGAUUCAGGGCUUUCCCUUAGGGUUUUCAUAAUCUGACGCUCUUUUGUAUCACUAAUUUGGUUCCUCUUUCUCCCCUUUAGUUUUUUUUUUUUAAUAUAUUUGAUUUCUAGGCUUUUUUUUUUUAAUUUUUUUAUAUGCUUUGUAGAUUUCAUUCAUUGCUUUUAUACCCCCUCUUUCUAUUUGCCGGAUACUUCUAAGUUUUUGGAAAUUGAAGUGCCUUCCCUGAAAUUUCUUUCGGUUUUUCUACUUGCUAUAUUUUGGUUCACCAAACCAAAAUUUUGGCGGAAAUUACCCUACUUGUCAUUUGGUUACUCAACGGAUAAUAACAUUUGGG
rnacentral:misc_RNA from 1 species